GAUGAACGCUGGCGGCGUGCUUAACACAUGCAAGUCGAACGAUGAAGCUGGAGCUUGCUCUGGUGGAUUAGUGGCGAACGGGUGAGUAACACGUGAGCAACCUGCCCCUGACUCUGGGAUAACAGCCGGAAACGGCUGCUAAUACCGGAUAUGCACCAUGAACGCAUGUUCUGUGGUGGGAAAGAUUUUUCGGUUGGGGAUGGGCUCGCGGCCUAUCAGCUUGUUGGUGAGGUAAUGGCUCACCAAGGCGUCGACGGGUAGCCGGCCUGAGAGGGUGACCGGCCACCCUGGGACUGAGACACGGCCCAGACUCCUACGGGAGGCAGCAGUGGGGAAUAUUGCACAAUGGGCGAAAGCCUGAUGCAGCAACGCCGCGUGAGGGAUGACGGCCUUCGGGUUGUAAACCUCUUUUAGCAGGGAAGAAGCGAGAGUGACGGUACCUGCAGAAAAAGCGCCGGCUAACUACGUG
rnacentral:rRNA from 1 species